AAAGAACUAAAGACUUUAUCACUGCAUUCUUUAUAACCUUUGCAUGAAAUGAUCACUCCUCUGGAUAAGUGGGGGUUUUUUACCUGUUGGGAUUUAAUUUUCUGUUUAAAGCAGGCUGAAACCUGUUGUUUGUGGUUACAAACAGGUCUUGCACAAGCCUUGAGCACCACCUGAAGUGGAUGGCAAACAUCCACGUGCUUUCCUGGCAGCCACAGCUCAGUGUGACACAAGGACAGCUCCCAGCCCUGGCUCGCCCCGCUGAGCCCCUGUGGUCUCACCACCCACUUGUUUUCCACCAGAUUUGUCCUCUCAAAGGACACAGGCAAUACUCAGGCAGACUUACACAUUCACAGUUCUGAAAUCCUGUGCCCAAGAGGUGCUGAACCUUUCUUUAGCAACUGCUGCCUAUGAACUCAAAGGCUGUAACACACAGAGGCUCAAGAGUGCAGGUGAGACACAGGGUGGCUGGAACUUUAUGGCUAGUGUUCAGGGCACAGCAGAGAGGCUGAACUGCUGGAGACUCUAGUGAAACUGCUGUAAGGCUGGCUGCUGGCUGGUGACACCAGUGUUCCUGUGUGCCCCCAACAUGACAGUGCUGUUGGGAUCCAGAAGCAAUCUGCAGGGGAAGGACAUCCAAUCCUUAGUGAGUACAGCAUGAUGUGAGGGAAGUGAGACUGUUGCUCCUCCGACAGCAGAGAGAGACCUUCCUCCUGACAAUGUCAGGAACAACUUGGAGGUAACAGUCUUCUGCUGCUCUUCCCUAUGGGAUCAAUAACUGUAAUGUCUGCAUUUACAGGGCUAACAUGUGACUGCAAACUUCAUUCUCUCCAA